rnacentral:misc_RNA from 1 species
AAAGUCGUAACAAGGUAACCGUAGGUGAACCUGCGGUUGGAUCAUUAAAAAGUUUGAAAAGGGCUAUGUCAAGGAUGCUUUUAGUUUAGUUCAUUUUUGGCCGUUUCGUUCAUUCAUUCGUUCAUUCUGAUACUGUUUUUUCAGCAUCUUUGACUUAGUCCCUAAUCAAAAACCAACCCUGUGUGAACUGUUUUGUCUCUGGCGGCUGGGUAGGGAUAUACUUUGUGUAACUCUAUCUGUCAGCUUAGUCUCAUCUGAGCCGUGGACAACCCGCCAAACAAUACUGAACAAACUUAGCUAAUUUUUUCUGUCUAAUAUCUGAUUUGUAUAAAUGUACAAACAACUUUUGGCAACGGAUCUCUUGGCUCUC